UACGGAGGGUGCAAGCGUUAUCCGGAUUUAUUGGGUUUAAAGGGUCCGUAGGCGGCCCUGUAAGUCCGUUGUGAAAGUCAAAGGCUCAACCUUUGAAAGCCGAUGGAUACUGCGGGGCUAGAGUCCGGAAGAGGCGAGUGGAAUUCCUGGUGUAGCGGUGGAAUGCGCAGAUAUCAGGAGGAACACCAAUAGCGAAGGCAGCUCGCUGGGACGGUACUGACGCUAAGGCGCGAAAGCGUGGGGAGCGAACAGG
rnacentral:rRNA from 1 species